rnacentral:tRNA from 1 species
UCCUUGAUAGCUCAGUUGGUAAAGAAUCUGCCUGCAAUGCAGGAGACCUGGGUUUGAUUCCUGGGUCAGGAA